rnacentral:lncRNA from 10 species
CGGGGUUUCACCGUGUUAGCCAGGAUGGUCUUGAAAUCCUGACCUCGUGAUCCACCCACCUCGGCCUUCCAAAGUGCUGGGAUUACAGGCAUGAGCCACUGUGCCCAGCCAGUUUUCUCUUUCAACACUUUACAUAUUUCACCCUUUUCUCUUCUUGCUUGCGUGGUGUCUGACAAGAAGGCUGUAAUUCUUAUUCGUUUCCUGUAUAAGUAAGCUGGGUUUUUUUCUAUGGCUUCUUUCAAGAUUUUGUGUUUGUCUCUGGUUUUCUACAGUUUGAAUAUGAUAUAUGUAGGUGUUGAUUUUUUUUUUUAAGUAUGUAUCCUAUUUGGUGUUCUCUAAGCUUACUGGAUCCGUGGCUUGGGGUCUGCCUUUACUUUUGGAAAAUUGGGAGCCAUUAUAACUUUCACGAUUUUUCUGCUCUGUUCUCCCUUUCUUCUCCUUGUGGUGUUUCAAUUGUGCAUAUACCUUUUGAAAAUAUCCCACAGUUCUUGUAUAAUCUGUUUUUUUCCCCAUUUUUUUCUUUGCAUUACAGUUUGGGAAGGUUCUAUUAACAUACCUUCAGGCUGAUUUUUUCCUCAUCUAUGUCCAGUCUACUGAUGGUCCCAUCAAAUGCCUUCAUCAUCUCUGUUAUAGUGUUUUCUCUUUCUCUUUCUUUCCUUCCUUUUUCUUUCCCUCCUUCCCUCCCUUCUUUCUUUCUUCCUUCUUUUGUUUGUUUUGUUGUUGUUGUUGUUGUUGUUUUAGACAGAGUCUUGCUCUGUUGUCCAGGCUGGAGUGAAGUGGCACCAUCUCGGCUCACUGCAUCCUCUGCCUCCCAGGUUCAAGUGAUUCUCAUGCCUCAGCCUCCACAGUAGUUGGGAUUAGAGGUGUGCGCCACCAUGCCCAGCUAAUUUUUUAUAGUUUUAAUACAGACUGGACUUCACCAUGUUGCCCAGGCUGGUCUUGAACUCCUGAGCUCAGGCAGUCCACCUGUCUCGGCCUCCCAAAGUGCUAAGAUGGAGAAAGCUGCCAUAUAAAGAGUUAUCUUAGGGGGACCAGGGCAAGAUCUGAGGGAUCAGUUAGUUGGCUAUGCCCCUUGUCUGGGCAAGACACUGCAGUGGCUUGGGUGGGGGUGGUGGCAGGGGUGGUGGGGUGAAGAGCCUAGGUCUAUUCUGAAGACAGGGUAUCUAUGAGGGGUCUCUGUUUCUACUCUUCCAGAGCACACCACCACCUGCAGCUGUCUCCUGCCUCCAGUGCAUCAGAGUCUGGAGCGCGUUGCUUCUCUGGAGGGAGAUAAAGACACAGUGGCUACCUGGGGAGAUAAAACAGCACCAGCAGGAAUCAGGGGUUCCAGAGAGGAGGGAACCUGGCCCUGGGCUAUCCUGGCUUUUGUCUCUGCCAUUUCUACUAAAACCACUCUGCUCAAGGCUGUCAUCAGUGUCUCCACUGCCCAGCCCUGGACUGUCAGAGCCACUCCGGGACAUCUGCACCAGAUGCAUGAGUUUCCUGAUACAGCGAAAUCUCAGCAGGAGUUGACACCCACCUGCCUGGUGCUCUGGGAUGAAUUUCUGCACAGAUGCAACCUCUGUGGGUGGAAGCCAGGAUGAAGUAUAUGCAUCUGUGAAGACUGGCCUUCCAUCUGUUUUCUGAUGCAACCAAAAUGCUUCAGGGCUCGUCUUAUCUGGAGGUUUGAUGGCUACAGACGUGAGGGGCUUCCAGGUAGAGCUCAGACCUGAGACUUCUGGUCCCCUGUCUGGACAUCUGUAUGAAGACGGAGAAGCACCAGCCAACCUCUCCACAACCCUCACCAAGUUCUCAUGGAACAUCCUCUGAUGGUCCCUCUCGGUGCUGGGUUCUGGCAGGAGAAAGAGAAGUCAGGGAACAGAAGAGCUGCUCUGCCAAAGUCAUACCCUUCUUGGAGACACAGGGAACUCCAUCUCUCAUUCUCACUAGCAAUUUGCUGUGGCAACUCAAAUGUUUUUCCAGAUGGAACAUAAGCAGACGUGAUGUGUUUGCCUUCCAGGUCUAACCCAUGCAAAGCCUCCUGGGAACACACCUCACGCUAUUUUCUAUUCCAUCAGGUGGAUAUGGAUGAUGAUUAGGAACUAGGGUGAGGUGGAGCCAGAAAACACAAGGAGCCUGGAUCCCUGAAUGACCACAUGGACAUACACAUGCUGAAGACUGCCUUGUAAGCAGGAAAUAAACAUCUACUGUAUUGAACCUUUGCAUGUAGGGACUAUUUUUUAUAGCAGCAUAGCUUUACUCUGACUAAUACAAUCCUUGCACUCAAGAGUUUACGGUCGUUUUAAGGAGACAAGACUCAGUCACACAAUUCUGCAACAAUAGUAGGUGGCUCAGAAGAAGAAGGGGCUGUAGGGUUUAGACUUCCAGUUCUGAAGUCACAGGCUGCAGGCCCCUGGGUAUGUGACUUUCCUAUCUAAUCCCUUUUCUGGAAAAAUGGAGAAGAGUCAGAUUGGGGGGAAGACUCUGUCAAAGGUUCAUCAGUAGGGCUUGAAGCAAGUCUAGAUGAGACCAAUGAUGUCAAUUCUUAGAAAGGACAAAAGAAAAUCGCCUCUAAAUCCCUAAGAACUUUGGCUGCUACAGGGAGGGGAUGGAGGCCAGAGUUUCCUAACUUCUCUCCUGGGACUCCCCAAACCUCAGAAGUUUCCUGGGGAGGAGCCCUGAACCUAGGUGUAUGGGGAUUUCAUUAUUCUAAGUGAAGUAACUCAGGGAUGAAAAACCAAAUGUAUAUUCUCACAUAUAAGUGGGAGCUCAGCUAUGAGCAUGCGAAGGCAUAAGAAUGAUACAGUGGACUUUGGGGACUCAGGGGGAAGGGUGGGAAGUGGGCGAGGGAUAAAAGACUGCACAUUGGGUACAGUGUACACUGCUUGGGUGAUGGGAGCCCCAAAAUCUCAGUAAUCACCACUGGAGAACUUACCUAUGCACCCAAACACCACCUGUUCCCCCAAA